rnacentral:rRNA from 1 species
UGGGGAAUAUUGCACAAUGGGCGCAAGCCUGAUGCAGCCAUGCCGCGUGUAUGAAGAAGGCCUUCGGGUUGUAAAGUACUUUCAGCGAGGAGGAAGGCGGUAAGGUUAAUAACCUUAUCGAUUGACGUUACUCGCAGAAGAAGCACCGGCUAACUCCGUGCCAGCAGCCGCGGUAAUACGGAGGGUGCAAGCGUUAAUCGGAAUUACUGGGCGUAAAGCGCACGCAGGCGGUCUGUCAACUCGGAUGUGAAAUCCCCGGGCUCAACCUGGGAACUGCAUUCGAAACUGGCAGGCUAGAGUCUUGUAGAGGGGGGUAGAAUUCCAGGUGUAGCGGUGAAAUGCGUAGAGAUCUGGAGGAAUACCGGUGGCGAAGGCGGCCCCCUGGACAAAGACUGACGCUCAGGUGCGAAAGCGUGGGGAGCAAACA